rnacentral:rRNA from 1 species
UACGAAGGGGGCUAGCGUUGCUCGGAAUUACUGGGCGUAAAGGGCGCGUAGGCGGAUAGUUUAGUCAGAGGUGAAAGCCCAGGGCUCAACCCUGGAAUUGCCUUUGAUACUGAGGAGCUUGAGUCCGGGAGAGGUGAGUGGAAUUACGAGUGUAGAAGUGAAAUUCGUAGAUAUUCGUAGGAACACCAGUGGCGAAGGCGACUUUCUGGCUCGAUACUGACGCUAAAGCGCGAAAGCGUGGGGAGCAAACAGG